UAGGGGGGGUGUUUGAAUUGAUAAUGCGGCGAAUCAGCUAUAAAUCAAAUUUAUUAAGGCCCUAUUUACAUGCUCCUAAAAACGUAGUAUAGUUAAAUUAUGUUACACCGGUAAAAAAAUUAUUCUGUAAAGUGUUUAUGAGAAAAAAAAAAUAACGUAUUUUUUUGGAGGAUAGUUAUACUAUACUUCAAAAAAUAGAGUAAAACUACAAACCUACAUGUUAAAUUUCAAAUUUUAAAAUUAAUUUUAAUUUUAAAUUUUUAAUUUUUAAUUUUAAUUUUCAAUUUUUUAAAUUUUAAAUUUUAUAAUUUUAUAAUUUCAAAUCUUAUUUUUCAAUAUCAAAUUUCAAUUUCCAAAUAUUAAAAUUUAAUUUUCAUUUUAAAUAUUAAUUUUCAAAUUUAAAAUUUCAAAAUUCAAAUUUAAAAUUUAAAAUUUCAAAAUUUAAAUAUA
rnacentral:lncRNA from 1 species